rnacentral:rRNA from 1 species
GAUGAACGCUGGCGGCGUGCUUAACACAUGCAAGUCGAACGGUGAAGGCGGAGCUUGCUCUGCUGGAUCAGUGGCGAACGGGUGAGUAACACGUGAGCAAUCUGCCCCUGACUCUGGGAUAAGCGCUGGAAACGGCGUCUAAUACUGGAUACGAGCUGCGAAGGCAUCUUCAGCAGCUGGAAAGAAUUUCGGUCAGGGAUGAGCUCGCGGCCUAUCAGCUUGUUGGUGAGGUAAUGGCUCACCAAGGCGUCGACGGGUAGCCGGCCUGAGAGGGUGACCGGCCACACUGGGACUGAGACACGGCCCAGACUCCUACGGGAGGCAGCAGUGGGGAAUAUUGCACAAUGGGCGGAAGCCUGAUGCAGCAACGCCGCGUGCGGGACGACGGCCUUCGGGUUGUAAACCUCUUUUAGCAGGGAAGAAGCGAAAGUGACGGUACCUGCAGAAAAAGCGCCGGCUAACUACGUG